AGUCGAGGGGCAUCAGGAUGUAGCAAUACAUUGCUGGCGACCGGCGCACGGGUGAGUAACACGUAUCCAACCUGCCUUUUACUCGGGGAUAGGCUUUCGAAAGAAAGAUUAAUACCCGAUGGCAUAAUAUUUCCACAUGGGAUUAUUAUUAAAGAAUUUCGGUAAAAGAUGGGGAUGCGUUCCAUUAGGCAGUUGGCGGGGUAACGGCCCACCAAACCUUCGAUGGAUAGGGGUUCUGAGAGGAAGGUCCCCCACAUUGGAACUGAGACACGGUCCAAACUCCUACGGGAGGCAGCAGUGAGGAAUAUUGGUCAAUGGGCGGAAGCCUGAACCAGCCAAGUAGCGUGAAGGAUGACUGCCCUAUGGGUUGUAAACUUCUUUUAUAGGGGAAUAAAAUGAGCCACGUGUGGCUUUUUGUAUGUACCCUAUGAAUAAGGAUCGGCUAACUCCGUGCCAGCAGCCGCGGUAAUACGGAGGAUCCGAGCGUUAUCCGGAUUUAUUGGGUUUAAAGGGAGCGUAGGUGGACAUGUAAGUCAGUUGUGAAAGUUUGCGGCUCAACCGUAAAAUUGCAGUUGAUACUGUGUGUCUUGAGUACAGUAGAGGUGGGCGGAAUUCGUGGUGUAGCGGUGAAAUGCUUAGAUAUCACGAAGAACUCCGAUUGCGAAGGCAGCUCACUGGACUGUUACUGACACUGAGGCUCGAAAGUGUGGGUAUCAAACAGGAUUAGAUACCCUGGUAGUCCACACAGUAAACGAUGAAUACUCGCUGUUUGCGAUAUACGGCAAGCGGCCAAGCGAAAGCAUUAAGUAUUCCACCUGGGGAGUACGCCGG
rnacentral:rRNA from 1 species